AUGGCCGACCCGCGGAUGUUCCCAUCGGGAUCAAACGGCCCGGAAGACCACGCCCCCGGCCGCCGGAAGUACAACCCCUACCAGGACCUCAACAUGCCCUACAACUACAAGAACCUCUACGACCUCCCCACCUCGCCGGAGUUCCUCUUCGAGGAGGAGUCCGCGGUGCAGCGCCGAUCCUGGGGCGAGAACCUCACGUACUACACCGGCAUCGGGUACCUCUCUGGCGCCGUGGGCGGCGCCGCCCUCGGCCUCCGCGACGCCGCCGCGGGCGCGGAGCCCGGGGAGACCGCCAAGAUCCGCGCCAACCGCUUGCUCAACGCCUGCGGCAGCUCCGGCCGCCGUUACGGCAACAGGCUCGGGGUCAUCGGGCUGAUGUACGCCGGGAUGGAGAGCGGCAUGGUCGCGGCGCGCGACCAAGACGACUGGAUCAACAGCGUCGCCGCAGGGCUCGGCACCGGCGCGCUCUUCCGCGCCGCUAACGGGCCGCGGUCUGCCGCCGUCGCGGGCGCUGUCGGCGGGGUCCUUGCUGCCGCCGCCUUGGCCGGGAAGCAGCUUGCAAAGCGAUACGUACAGGCAAUAUGA
rnacentral:rRNA from 1 species